UCGGGCUCGACGCUCCCCAGCGCUCUGGUCGUCUCGCUGUUGCUGGUCUCUGGCUCCCUCCUCCCAGGGCCGGGCGCCGCUCAGAACGUGAGAACACAAUCUGGACAGGGUCAGAAGUGGAGAAUGAAGUUGUAAGAGAAAGGGGAAGAGAAGAAAGGCUAUAGUAGUGCAAGGAGAAAAGCAGAAAUGUUUCAAAUUAAAAUAAAAACAAAGAAAACAAAACACCUCAGUCUUAUCUAUUAAAGGAGACUGGUCAGCUUUGAUGGAAACAUUGUGUGUUAAGUUUCUUGUAUUAAAAAGUACUGAGUGACUCUUGCCUCUUGGCCACCGACAUGCCAUCCAGACUGAGGAAGACUUGGAAACUUUGGGGCCACGGCCACAUCCCACGCUGCAUCGGCAAGCACAGGAAGCACCCGGGGGCCAAGGUAAUGCUGGUGGCUCGCAUCAUCACAGGAUCAACUUCAACAAAUAUCACCCAGGUGACUUUGGGAAAGUGGGUGUGAGGCAUUACCACUUAAAGAGGAACCAGAGCUUCUGCCCAACUGUCAACCUUGAUAGACUAUGGACCCUGGUCAGUGAGCAGACACCGGUAAAUGCUGUCAAGAGCAAGACUGGAUCUGCUUCUGUCAUUGAUGUGGUGCGAUCGGGCUACUACACAGUUCUGGGCAGGGAGAGCUCCCAGAGCAGCCUGUCAUUGUGAAGGCCACGGUCUCAGCAGAAGAGCCGAGGAGAAGAUGAAGGUGUUGGGGGGGCUUGUGUCCUGGUAGCUUGAAGCUUCAUGGAGCGAAGUUAAUUAAAAUGUCCACAAGUAAAAAAAAAAAAAAAGUACAGAGUGGUAGUAAUUAAUACUUAAUUUUAUUUUUAUGUAUCUUUUGAGGAGCUUUGUUUUCUAUUUAUGACUUAGUUUCUCCUUUCCCUUUUGUAUUUUUAAAAGACCUUUUAAUCUCUCCAUUGUAGUUGAACAAGGCAACCAGAGUGUUAACCUUAAUUAAAUCUGGGGAAGUUCCUAGUUUAAUAUUCCUUGCAUUUCUGAAAACAAUUAUGAACUAGCUUUUUUCCUAAAUCUUAAUUCUUAUGGUAUGCUUUAUGGUAUUUUCUAGAAGUAUAUCAAUUUAGAUAUGCUUCCCUUCACUUUGUUUAUCUUGAUUUAUAUUAUUGUUACACCCAAGUAUUGUUUCAAAUUGACUAUGAAUUGUAAAUGAGUUGAUGUGAAACCUGAAAAGUGUUAGUGUUCUAUAUAUUAUGUAAGGUUCUAUUAUUAGAAAACAUUACGUUCUAAAUUAUACCAAUAGCUUUAGUCAUAUCCAAAUGUAUUUCUCACUUUCUUAAAGUGAUUAAAUAUAAAACACAAGGCAAAAUGUCAAAUCCUAUUCUGAUAGUAUAACAAAGCAAAAUGUUCCAUAUGCUAAAAAACAGGUAAGAGUGUGCUUGCUUAUAUAAAUAUUAUGCUAUUGAUUCUCUUUUCUUCCUGAACGUAUUUGAAAACCACUGGACUAGAUGUCUAAAUUCUCUUCCAAUUCUAAAAUUACACAAGUCUGUUUAUUGGCUUUACAGCUUAGGUACUGCCUCUAAUGGGUAUAGGGCUUAAAGAAUACUUGCUCUUUUAAUAAGUUGGUAGAAACUUGUUUUUCAGAAAUAAGGAAAAUUGACUUUGAGGCUUUCAUGUUUUGAAAUUCAACUUUCUAUAAACCUACUUCAGACAAUAGUUGUAGUUCUUGUUUCAAGGAAGGCAGAAUGGUGUCUGUUAUGGAGAUCUCAUAGUGUGAAUUAAACAAUUAAGAAAUGAAAAUCACUGCUAGGUAGAUAGAUAUGUUGUGUUCUCUCUGUUGACUGAAAAGUAGUUGACUAUUGAAGAGGCAAUAAAGAGACAGUGCAGAACACUUAAUUAAUUGUAUUUUUAUGUAUCUUUUGAGGAUGUUUGUUUUCUAUUUAUAACUUAGUUUCUCCUUUCCCUUUUGUAUUUUUAAAAGACCUCUAAACCUCUCCAUUGUAGUUGAACAAGGCAACCAGAGUGUUAACCUUAAUUAAAUCUGGGGGAUUAAUAUUCCUUAUAAACAGUG